CAGAGAAUAGUUUAAAUAAAAUUUUAAUUUUGGAGAUUAAUGAUAGAAUGAAAGUAUUCUUUUUCUGA
rnacentral:tRNA from 1 species